rnacentral:rRNA from 1 species
GACGAACGCUGGCGGCGUGCUUAACACAUGCAAGUCGAACGGUAAGGCCCUUCGGGGUACACGAGUGGCGAACGGGUGAGUAACACGUGGGUGAUCUGCCCUGCACUUCGGGAUAAGCCUGGGAAACUGGGUCUAAUACCGGAUAGGACUCCGGACUGCAUGGUCUGGGGUGGAAAGCUUUUGCGGUGUGGGAUGGGCCCGCGUCCUAUCAGCUUGUUGGUGGGGUGAUGGCCUACCAAGGCGACGACGGGUAGCCGGCCUGAGAGGGUGACCGGCCACACUGGGACUGAGAUACGGCCCAGACUCCUACGGGAGGCAGCAGUGGGGAAUAUUGCACGAUGGGCGCAAGCCUGAUGCAGCGACGCCGCGUGAGGGAUGACGGCCUUCGGGUUGUAAACCUCUUUCAGCAUCGACGAAGCGAAAGUGACGGUAGGUGCAGAAGAAGGACCGGCCAACUACGUGCCAGCCGCCGCGGUAA